UUCUUUUCGGUUGAUGCUAGGUGUGGUUGUGUGAGUUGGACUCUCAUUUCAUGCAGGGUAAUUCUAGAAGUGCAUGUCUUCUCUUCACGGGGGACACAGGCUUCUGUUUGGAAGUUUAACUUUUAUGAGAUCACCUCCAUUGUGACUCGAGCUGCAGGAAUGCAGUGCACUGCAAUGGAACGUUCCCCUUUUAUCUGCAUGUGUUAAUGCGCUGUGGCCUGUGGGACAAUUGAGCAUACUGAAAAGGACCAGGCCAGCCACUGUUUCCAUGUGAUUUUCUAAGCAUUUCUUUAUUGCUUCCUGUUGCUUAAUUUUUUGUUUGAUAUUGUUUGGUUAUCUGUAUUUUUACCACUCAUGUGCCACAGUCAUAUUAGCAUUUAUUUUUCUUGACUAAGUGUUGCCUUUUAUGCUGGUGGUUCUCCUCCCU